rnacentral:tRNA from 1 species
GUCAGUUUGGCCGAGAGGUUAAGGCGAUAGACUCGAAAUCUAUUGGGCUAUGCCCGCGUCGGUUCAAAUCCGGCAGCUGACG